UACGGAGGGUGCAAGCGUUAUCCGGAUUCACUGGUUUAAAGGGUGCGUAGGCGGGCAGGGAAGUCCGUGGUGAAAUCUCCGAGCUUAACUCGGAAACUGCCGUGGAUACUCUCUGUCUUGAAUACUGUGAAGGUGAGCGGAAUAUGUCAUGUAGCGGUGAAAUGCUUAGAUAUGACAUAGAACACCAAUUGCGAAGGCAGCUCACUGCGCAGCGAUUGACGCUGAGGCACGAAAGCGUGGGGAUCAAACAGG
rnacentral:rRNA from 1 species